rnacentral:miRNA from 1 species
CUUUGGUGAUUUGGCUUAUAUGA